rnacentral:rRNA from 1 species
AUGCAAUCCCAGAUGCAAGAUAUUCCCCACAUACAAACCAUGGUCAAACACUACAGAUACGAUAAGUCAGACAAUGGUCAAUGGCCAUGCAAUGAGCUCGCCUCCGCCCUUUCUCCGCCCGCGUGGGCACGCGGCCGCGCCGCCCCGGCCUCCUACUCCACGGCGCCUGCGUGUGCAGCUGCGGUCUCCGCCCCGCCUGCUCCCCUCGCCGUGGCUGCUGCCUCUUCCAGCACCUCGCGCACGCUUCCUCUGCGGCUGACGCCCCGCCUCGCAUCUGCCUCCGUAUCGCGUGCGUGUGUUCAGCGUACGCGCCUCGCCUCGCCUCCUCCAGCGUUGCGCCGUCCGCGGCAGCAGCAGCCGGCGCCCCCGCGCCCGCCUGGCCGCCCCCUGCACGCGGGUCAGCCGGUCGUAUCCGCGCCUGACCGCCUCCUGCGCCGUCCGGCUGGGCCCGGCCCUGCCGUCCUCGCUCGUGCCCGUGCCGGCCCUCUCCUCCGUCCGGCUGCUCGCGCGGCGCCGGCUCUGGCUCCCGGCGCGUCCGCGGCUGCUCCCUCCUCUGCUGCGUCCGGGCUCAGCCGUCCCUCUGCCCCGCCCGACCGCGCGCCGGCGUCCCGCCCGCCGUCUCCGCCGACACGGCCCCGUCCGGCGUCCUGGGCGCUGCCUCGACCAGUCGGCUCGCGGCCGUGCCCCACCGCCCGAGCCCCCGCCCCGCUGCCGCUUUUCAGCCGCCGGCUCGCCACUCCGGCCUGCUGCGUCUCCGGCUCGCGGAUCCGCCUCCUGCACCCCGGCCGUCGUCUCCGCCGGCCUGCGCCGGCUCCCCGUGUCGGUCGGCCUCCCCGCUCCAGCCGGCCUCCUGCGUUGGCCGGCUCCGCCCGGCGACCCGGCCUGCCGCCUGCCGGCCGCGCUGCCGCGCCACAAUCCGGACGCCGAGUCCCGCACCUUGCCGCCUGCUGCUCCGCUCCGGCUCCCCACGGUCGUCUCCGCGCGCCGCCCGUUCCAGGCCGCCUGCAGGCUUCGCGCAGGCCGGCUGCCUACAACCCGGACGGCAGGCUCCCCCGCAACUCGGCCGGCCCUCCGCCUGUCGGCUCCAGCACGCCCGGCCGCCUGCCGGCUCCCGCCACUCGGCCGGCCCUCCGCCUGGCGACUCCAGUGCAACCGGCCGCCUACCGGCUUCGCGCGCCCCCGCCGGCUCCCCUGACCGCUGUGGUCGGCUGCCAGUGA